rnacentral:rRNA from 1 species
GUCCUUUAGAGUUUUAUUAAAGGUCUAACCUGCCCACUGAAUAAAAUUGAAUGGCCGCAGUAAAUUGACUGUGCAAAGGUAGCAUAAUCAAUAGUUUUUUAAUUAAAAGCUUGAAUGAAUGGUUGGACGAGAUAAAAUCUAUCUUUAUUAUAUAGUUAGAAUUUAAUUUUUAAGUUAAAAAGCUUAAAUAAAUUUAAUAGACGAGAAGACCCUAUAGAUUUUAAUAAUUAAGUUAUUAUUUUUAUUAAGGGUUAAUUAUGUAUAAUAGUAAAUUAAUUAUUUUAUUGGGGUAAUGUAGAAAUUAGAUGAAUUUUUUAAUAAAAAUAACAAUGAUGUUUGAUUAGAUGAUCAAUUAUUAGUGAUUAUAAGAUUAAAUUACCUUAGGGAUAACAGCGUAAUUUUUUUUAAGAGUUCUUAUCGAUAAAAAAGUUUGCGACCUCGAUGUUGGAUUAAAAAUUUUUCUAGGUGUAGUAGUUUAGAGUUUUGGUCUGUUCGACCAUUGAAUUUUUACA